AUCCGGGUUGCGGACAGUGUCUGGUGGGUAGUUUGACUGGGGCGGUCUCCUCCCAAAGAGUAACGGAGGAGCACGAAGGUUGGCUAAUCCUGGUCGGACAUCAGGAGGUUAGUGCAAUGGCAUAAGCCAGCUUGACUGCGAGCGUGACGGCGCGAGCAGGUGCGAAAGCAGGUCAUAGUGAUCCGGUGGUUCUGAAUGGAAGGGCCAUCGCUCAACGGAUAAAAGGUACUCCGGGGAUAACAGGCUGAUACCGCCCAAGAGUUCAUAUCGACGGCGGUGUUUGGCACCUCGAUGUCGGCUCAUCACAUCCUGGGGCUGAAGUAGGUCCCAAGGGUAUGGCUGUUCGCCAUUUAAAGUGGUACGCGAGCUGGGUUUAGAACGUCGUGAGACAGUUCGGUCCCUAUCUGCCGUGGGCGCUGGAGAAUUGAGGGGGGCUGCUCCUAGUACGAGAGGACCGGAGUGGACGCAUCACUGGUGUUCGGGUUGUCAUGCCAAUGGCACUGCCCGGUAGCUAAAUGCGGAAGAGAUAAGUGCUGAAAGCAUCUAAGCACGAAACUUGCCCCGAGAUGAGUUCUCCCUGAGACUUUAAGUCUCCUGAAGGAACGUUGAAGACGACGACGUUGAUAGGUCGGGUGUGUAAGCGCAGCGAUGCGUUGAGCUAACCGAUACUAAUGAACCGUGAGGCUUAACCUUACAACGCCGAAG
rnacentral:rRNA from 3 species